UAUGAUAGAUUUUGUUUUAUAUUAUUAAUAUUGUUUUAUUUGGUUAUAUUUUUUAAUGAAUAAAUGAAGAAUGAAUGAAGAAUGAAUAAAUGAAUGAAUGGAAAUCUAGUCACUAGGUUAAAGGUUAACAACUGAACUAUCACUUAUUCUUCUGGGAAAGGGGAAAUCAGUUUUCCCCAACAGAGUGACACUGGGUGUAUCAACAACUCCAGGACAGGCCUCGUGCUCAGGAGCAGUUGAUCAGCAUAUAAUGGACUCUGCAGGGGCUGGGGGAGGCUUUUAUUUACUUACGGUUUAGAGUUUUGUUUUUUGGGCGCGGGGGUGGGGAUCUUGUUUUGGGGGUGUUGUCACAUUGGGUUUUCAGUUUUUUGAAAAAGAACUUAAAGUUGCAUAGAUAGAGCGGGGGAGAGGAUCUGGGAUGACUUAGAGGAGAAGAAUUUUUUUUUAAUUAAAAAAUUGUUUUAAAUAAUAAGAGAGAAAAGAAAAAAACUUAAGAGCCAUAGAACGAAGGCUGUGUUGGUUGACAGACAUAAAGCUGUAACUUUUCAGGGUCAGGGGAUACUCUUAAGUUUGAGAACUGGAAAAUAAGCUUCAGAAUGGUCAAGUUUCUAUCACAGGGCACCAUUAAAUAAAAGGAAGGAAGGACAAACAGACUGCUGAGUUUAAAAGAGGCAGAAAGAAAGGAAGAAACAAACAAAUAAACAAAGACUGCCGAGUUUAAAAGAGGCUGAGGAAAUGACACACCACCAUGCAUUUGGGAAAGAGCGGAAGUCGCAUUCGAGCAUGCAGUCUAGAGAGGGCCCUGGUUGGGAAGGGUGGCUGUAACUCAAAGAGGAAAUGAUGUCAUAAGGGCCUGACCCUGGAGGCGGGGCCAGAGUUGCUGAGGAGGUUCACAGACAGAUGUGCUGCCUGGAAGACUGAUGGUGACCCCUACCCAGUCAGCCCAGAGCAGGGAGAGCAGGGGUGUAGGGCAAGGCGGACACAGAGAGCCAGCCUGGGAUGCUGGGGUAGGGCCUCUCCAGAAUAGACAGACAGACCAGAAUGCAAGAGGCGGGGCACGGGAGGUCAGGAGUGGCAGAGCAUGGAGGGAAAGAAGCCCUCAACAAGCGCCUUUUGAAUAAGGAGGAAGGGAUGGAAGAGGGUUGGAGGCGUCAUGAGGGAGUCAUCCUGGAGGCAGUUUUCUUCAUGGAAACCUAGAUAAAUGAAAAGAUUAGGAUGGAAGGAGUGAUGCUCAUCCUCCAAGGCGAGCAAUCCCAGUAUGUCAGGGUUCUAAGGGGAGGUGCGGGCAGAGGUCAGGUUGCAAUAGCCUGCAAGGAGAGGAGGCAGACAGAGCUGGGACAAGGGUGGCUGCAAGCCCAAGAGGAGCAUUUACGCAAGAGUAAGACGGGAAACAGCUUAUUAGCUGAUAUAGGGAGCUGGGAAAGUGGGGGGCAGCGGACAGCUGGGGAGAGGGGAGAUAAAUCCAGGCCGACAGGCAGCAGAGCCCCAAGAAGGAAAUUGAACCAUUUUGACGUUCUUCUAAGCCACCCCCGCUCUUGAUUUAUGAAGAAGCUUUGAAAAGAACUUGAAAACAUUAACAUGACCUAGUGAAUUCCUAAGCUGCCUGCGCUGCUCAGGCCCUGCGAGAGUUGAUUCGGGAUCCGUGGCAUCUUCCUUUCUCUUCAAAAACGUCUCCACAAACCAAGGUGUUCAUCGGCCCUUCUCUCACAACUCUAGCCGGCACCCCGAUUUGGGGGGCGGGGGUCCUCAUGUCCGGCACACAAAUUGCAAUAAAUGUAAUAAAUGAGCUUGUGUUCCAUGUUAGAACUUGGCAUUGUUUAAAAAUAGGUAUUUUUAAUGUUUCUUUCUCUGGAAUUGGAUUUUUGUUUUUCUCUCUUUUCUCUCUUCUAAAGCAUGGUCUUUCCUAUGGAGCAUAAACAACUCUUCCAUAAUAAAAUUGUAUUUUUGUAAGUGGAAA